UGAAGUUACAAAGGGCGUAUGGUGAAUGCCUUGGGAAUAGGAGACGAUGAAGGACGUGACUACC
rnacentral:rRNA from 1 species